rnacentral:lncRNA from 11 species
GUUGGAUUUCAUAAAACACCUGUGUCCAUCAAAGAGAACACACAGGAUCUCUGCAUGAGCUCUCCUUGACUUUGUAAUUUCAUUGACUGACAGUUUAAUAUCUAUUUAUUUUCACAUCUGACUCCAGUAGAGACAGGCUGGCAUCCUAAAUGUCAAGAUAUUAUGCUGACAACUGGAAGCUCUGGAAAGCCUUGAAAUUUAUUCAGAACUAAAAUUUCUGCUUGACUGGCUAUUGACAAGCACAGAUGGUAUGAAUAUGCAGAUUGGUGAUUUUCUAAUCAAUACCGUGGCACUUGGGAGUGUAUAACCUCACUGAAGGGACAGUUACUGGACUGAUGACCAUUGCUGCAAGAUUUAUAUGCAAUUCUCAAUGACGGAUACACAUAUGUGGUAGAGGUAUGUGCUUCAUGCCAACACUUCAGAACACCUGAGAAAUAAAGGUAUAACAUAAGAUUAUUUAGGGAUUCUU